rnacentral:rRNA from 1 species
AACGUAGGUACCGAGCGUUAUCCGGAUUUACUGGGCGUAAAGCGUGUGCAGGCGGUCGUGCAAGUCGGGCAUGAAAGCCCCUGGCUCAACUGGGGGAAGCUGUCUGAUACUGCGCGACUUGAGGGCUCGAGAGGGCGAUGGAAUUCCGCAUGUAGUGGUGAAAUGCGUAGAGAUGCGGAGGAACACCAGUGGCGAAGGCGGCUCGCUGGGCCGGUCCUGACGCUGAGACGCGAAGGCGUGGGGAGCGAACGGG